rnacentral:rRNA from 1 species
GGGGAAUAUUGGACAAUGGGCGCAAGCCUGAUCCAGCCAUGCCGCGUGUGUGAAGAAGGCCUUCGGGUUGUAAAGCACUUUUGUACGGGAAGAAACCUUCCGGGCUAAUACCCCGGGAGAAUGACGGUACCGUAAGAAUAAGAACCGGCUAACUUCGUGCCAGCAGCCGCGGUAAUACGAAGGGUGCAAGCGUUACUCGGAAUUACUGGGCGUAAAGCGUGCGUAGGUGGUUCGUUAAGUCUGCCGUGAAAGCCCCGGGCUCAACCUGGGAAUUGCGGUGGAUACUGGCGGACUAGAGUGCGGUAGAGGGUGGUGGAAUUCCCGGUGUAGCAGUGAAAUGCGUAGAGAUCGGGAGGAACAUCUGUGGCGAAGGCGGCCACCUGGACCAGCACUGACACUGAGGCACGAAAGCGUGGGGAGCAAA